UACGAGGGGGGCAAGCGUUGUUCGGAAUUAUUGGGCGUAAAGGGUGCGUAGGCGGUCUGAUAAGUCAUCUGUGAAAUCUAUGGGCUCAACCCAUAGUCUGCAGGCGAAACUGUCGGGCUUGAGUAUGGGAGAGGUGAGUGGAAUUUCCGGUGUAGCGGUGAAAUGCGUAGAUAUCGGAAGGAACACCUGUGGCGAAAGCGGCUCACUGGACCGCAACUGACGCUGAGGCGCGAAAGCUAGGGGGCAAACAGG
rnacentral:rRNA from 1 species